AUCACUACAAGGAAAAACCUCUUUAGCGACGAAAUUUUCAGCGACCAACCCAAUUUUGGUCGCUCAAAAAAGAAAUUAGCGACAAACCUUUUGCAGUUGGUCGCCAAAGGUUUCGUGAUAUUAAGGCAUUGUCCAAGACAUGAACAAAAUGAAUUGCUACCAAAUUCUUCAGAAGGGCGACGAAAUGUUUUUGUGGCUAUGGUUGCAAGUGGCGACGAAAAAUAAUUUUGGUCGCCAUUCAUUGAAUAGAGUGCACGCGAAAUUGACAAAAUUCUAGGUGACAAAAUUUUUUUGUCGCUAUGUUUGCCAGUGUCGUCGCAAAG
rnacentral:lncRNA from 1 species